CUUCUUCCUUAAAUUUGACACCUCAUAAAUGGAGAUUCCAACUUCUUUGGUUCCACAACUAACAGCGUGUUUAAGCGCGUAUAUUUAUAGAUUGGACUUAAAUUCAUUUGUCAAAUAUUUCAAUAAAAUCUCUUUAGAUCAGUCAUCAACAAUAAUCUAGCAUAACUACACUCAUCGCGAUUUUCUACUCUUCAAUGGGAAUAUUAGCUCAUUUUCAAUCAUGGAUUCGUGACAAUGAAAAUGACUUUAAAGUUAAAGAAAUCCAGCAUAUUUGUGGAAUUUAAUAGAAAAAAAAUGACCUUUUCAAUUUGAUAACUUUUUCUUCUUAAUAUCUAAGCUCAAACGGUUGAUGAAAAAGAUGUAUUUACAUUUAAUGUCUAUUAAAUCAAUGAAGGCAUGAUAUCUAUCUUUUUAUAUACUCUAUUUUCUUACAUUAUUUAAUCAAGGUUAGGUAAUAUCUUAGGUUAAUAAAAUGUUUGAAGACUUACAAAAAUCGAAAACUUAAAAUGUUGCCAAAAUUUACUAAAAUUACUAAAAAGUAGUUUGGUGCGAAAACAGUUGUUUUGCCGAACUCCUGCAAAAAAACUCUUGUUUGGAUAUUUGGAAGCAAAUGCUAAUUCCUCAAGUUAGAGGAAAUUAUUUCCUUUGAGAAACGAAUGAUUGCCUUGAGCUCCCCGCUUAUGAGAAAUUGUUUUUUAAAAGAUUUUGAUUUCCAGUGUCAACAACCACUUGUGUGUUGCCACGUCAAUUGGGUUGGAGCUGUAUGUUUUUAUCCAAAAAUUGCUGAAAUCUCUGUUCGACCCAACGCCACUCACAUGUCUUAUAUAUUUUCCCCAAUUCAACCGUUUUUAUUAGUGUUUCAUUUUGGUACAGCUUUUCCCCUUCCAAGCGAUCUCCCAUUCCUUUCUAGCUUGCUAUACGGACCAUCGGACAAAAGAAAGAGGAAGGUUCAUUUCACAACUCACAAGGACAGAGAAGAAAAUGGGUCAUCACCAUCACCACCACCACCGUGAAGGUGCCAGUCCAUGUGAUGAUCCCUUCCUGGGCCCUGGCAUGUUGUUGCUGCCCUUGUUUCUUAGUAGCCUCUGUGUUCUCUAUGUUUACGAGGUGCAUCUUUAUGGCUCGUUACCCUUUUCUGCAGUGUUUUGGAUGGGAUGAUCGCAGACACCACCACAGCCAUUUCUUAUAACCCCAAUUUUUAUUUUUGUGGUCUCCAAACUCUAGCAAGACAAGGUUCUGAUCCUUUUCAGAGGAUUGUCAGCAUUUCAAUUUGGUUGUUUGUGUAUAAUUUACCUUGUACCAGUUAAAUUUUGAGUUGUUGUUUGUUCACUCCGAGGAAAAAUAGAAUCUUUCAACCAUAUGUUGUUGUAUAUUUGUCCUCUGUCCUACAAUACUUGUCCAUAUUACUAAAUACAGUUGUCCAAUGUACUACAACACUUUUGAAAAAACAAUGAAUAAUUUAUCUAUUUCUAUUCAUUUUA